AAUCAACGCUGGCGGCGUGCCUCAGACAUGCAAGUCGAACGCGAAAUUUCCCUUCGGGGAGAAAGUAGAGUGGCGCACGGGUGAGUAACACGUGGGUAAUUUACCUCGGGUGGGGAAUAACGUCUCGAAAGAGACGCUAAUACCGCAUGAUGCAGCGGCACCACAUGGUGACAGUUGUUAAAGCGGGGGAUCGCAAGACCUCGCGCCUGAAGAGAAG
rnacentral:rRNA from 1 species